rnacentral:rRNA from 3 species
GAGUUUGAUCAUGGCUCAGAUUGAACGCUGGCGGCAUGCCUAACACAUGCAAGUCGAACGGGAGUAGCAAUACUCUAGUGGCGGACGGGUGAGGAAUACGUAGGAAUUUGCCCUUAAGUGGGGGAUAACCCGGGGAAACCCGGAUUAAUACCGCAUGAUCUCGAAAGAGCAAAGUGGGGGAUCGCAAGACCUCACGCUUUUGGAGAAGCCUACGUCGGAUUAGCUAGUUGGUGAGGUAAUGGCUCACCAAGGCGACGAUCCGUAACUGGUCUGAGAGGAUGAUCAGUCACACCGGAACUGAGACACGGUCCGGACUCCUACGGGAGGCAGCAGUGGGGAAUAUUGGACAAUGGGCGAAAGCCUGAUCCAGCAAUGCCGCGUGUGUGAAGAAGGCCUUCGGGUUGUAAAGCACUUUAAGUUGGGAAGAAAAAAUUCCACCUAAUACGUGGAGUCUUGACGGUACCGACAGAAUAAGCACCGGCUAACUCUGUGCCAGCAGCCGCGGUAAUACG